rnacentral:rRNA from 1 species
UACGAGGGGGGCAAGCGUUGUUCGGAAUUAUUGGGCGUAAAGGGCGCGUAGGCGGUUUGGCAAGUUUGGUGUGAAAUCUUCGGGCUCAACUCGAAGUCUGCAUCGAAAACUGCCGGGCUUGAGUAUGGGAGAGGUGAGUGGAAUUUCCGGUGUAGCGGUGAAAUGCGUAGAUAUCGGGAGGAACACCAGAGGCGAAGGCGGCGACCUGGACAAGCACUGACACUCAACUACGAAAAGCGUGGGUAGCAAACAGG